UCAAAGAAGGGAGAUUCUAACUCCCACUCCUAGCUCCCAAAGCUAGAAUUCUAAAUUAAACUAUUCUUUG
rnacentral:tRNA from 1 species